GUCCGGAGCAUCUAGUGGAGUGUUGCCCUAAUCACGAGUCAGAAUAGAACCUAUGGGGUCACACACACUAGAAGUAUUGACCGAUCCGAUGGUUGAAAAGUGAUUAUGAAUCACAAGUAAUCAAUUCGAUUGAUAAUAAGUUGAAGAAGGAACAAUGGGAAUUGAUUAAUUGGAUUUAAAACACAAAUCCUACUUAGAGUAGGAUUCCUAAAGUCCUAAUUGGAUUAGGACUGGAAAUCCUAUUUGGAGUAGGAUUGGGAUUCCUACUUGGAGUAGGAUUCCUACAAUCCUAAUUAGAUUAGGAUUUUGAAUUUAUUUUUGGAUUCUUACUUAGAAUAGGAUUCCUAGAAAUCCUAAUUGGACU
rnacentral:lncRNA from 1 species